UACAGAGGUGGCAAGCGUUGUUUGGAAUUACUGGGCGUAAAGGGUUUGUAGGUGGCUUGCUAAGUCAGACGUGAAAUCCCUCAGCUUAACUGGGGAACUGCGUCUGAUACUGGCGAGCUUGAGUGCAGGAGAGGAACGCGGAAUUCCAGGUGUAGCGGUGAAAUGCGUAGAUAUCUGGAGGAACACCGGUGGCGAAGGCGGCGUUCUGGACUGUAACUGACACUGAGAAACGAAAGCCAGGGUAGCAAACGGG
rnacentral:rRNA from 1 species